AAAAAAGACACAGAGCCCAACGCAAACCCGAACGCGAGGCUGCUCGACACACUGGGAGCCAAGAAGUCCGCUCAGCGGCUCAGUGACACACUUCUACUUCACACGGAAGGUACACGAAGCUUGACGUAUCAAGUCUUUCCAGAAAGGGACAUAUGCACUUCGAGAAGAUAAGUUGAUAAACAUCUGUUUACUGACCCAAGAACAACUCUGCAAGACUAACCAGAAGGCCUCAUGUUCACUUUGAACAGACUGAUGAAGCAGAGGAGGACACCUGGUGCAGACUCUGAGGCGAGUCAAGUGCUGCAUCUACAUUUCAGCAAACAAUUUGAGUCUGUCUUGACAGUUUCUCCGCGGUCAAACUGAAAUUCAGAAUCCCCGUGCUCAUGUGUCAUUUACAGCAUAUGAGAUCUAUACGCGGCAUAAACCAUAUAAACAGGAUAUGGGUCUCAAUUAUGAAGGCCGCGUUCUAUGCCCACCUGGAAGGCAAUCUCUACCAGCGGGCCACCAGAUGCAUGCAUGCACUAAUCCUGUCUUUCCUUCAAUAAAAUUAACAUUAAAGUACAAAAGGCAUA
ensembl:antisense Gm17088 predicted gene 17088